rnacentral:rRNA from 1 species
AACGAACGCUGGCGGCGCGCCUAAUACAUGCAAGUCGAGCGAGAAGACGUAGCAAUACGUUUGUAAAGCGGCGAACGGGUGAGGAAUACAUGGGUAACCUACCCUCGAGUGGGGAAUAACUAGCCGAAGGUUAGCUAAUACCGCGUACGCUCCUUGGACUUCGGUUCAGGGAGGAAAGCGAUACCGUGGGUAUCGCGCUCUUGGAUGGGCUCAUGUCCUAUCAGCUUGUUGGUGAGGUAACGGCUCACCAAGGCUUCGACGGGUAGCUGGUCUGAGAGGACGAUCAGCCACACUGGCACUGCGACACGGGCCAGACUCCUACGGGAGCAGCAGUAAGGAUAUUGCGCAAUGGGCGAAAGCCUGACGCAGCGACGCCGCGUGGGGAUGAAGGUCUUCGGAUUGUAAACCCCUUUCGGGAGGGAAGAU